ACGGAAGGCAGCAGUGGGGAAUAUUGCACAAUGGGCGCAAGCCUGAUGCAGCGACGCCGCGUGAGCGAAGAAGUAUUUCGGUAUGUAAAGCUCUAUCAGCAGGGAAGAUAAUGACGGUACCUGACUAAGAAGCACCGGCUAAAUACGUGCCAGCAGCCGCGGUAAUACGUAUGGUGCAAGCGUUAUCCGGAUUUACUGGGUGUAAAGGGAGCGUAGGCGGUUUUACAAGUCUGAUGUGAAAGCCCGGGGCUCAACUCCGGUAUUGCAUUGGAAACUGUAGAACUAGAGUGUCGGAGGGGUAAGUGGAAUUCCUAGUGUAGCGGUGAAAUGCGUAGAUAUUAGGAGGAACACCAGUGGCGAAGGCGGCUUACUGGACGAUUACUGACGCUGAGGCUCGAAAGCGUGGGGAGCAAACAGAAUUAGAUACCCUGGUA
rnacentral:rRNA from 1 species